ensembl:lincRNA
GAGCCCAGGAAAGCAGCUGUGCCACCAACCAGGGCACCAGCCGCUGUCCUCAAAGUCCUUUCACUGCAAAGUUGCAUGCAAAAAGGCACCGGAGUGUAACAAGCAUAGUAAUGAAGCUUCCAUUUGGAAAUAUGUGUCUUAGCUCACACCGGGACUGGAAAACAUAGUGGAUCUAAUUUUGAAGCACACUAUGAGAGAAAAGAGCUGGAAAGCUGAUAUCCACAAAAACCCUGGAUUCCCUGAUUCACUUGCUCACUUCUGUUCAAGGAUGUGAGGACAGCUGCUAGAACCUGACUCUCUUUUCUCACUUCUCUGUUGGAAUGUUGCUCUCGGUGUUUGAAAUAGAGCCAGCCAAUCAAUCCUGUUUUGAGACUCAAUUUCCACACUCUUUGUAAAUGCCCUCAGCCAUCUUUGAACGAUGUGCCUCUCAGAGGUGAAAUGGAGCAGCACGCUUGGAAAGACUUGGCGAAAUGAAGAAAAUAAAUGGCUCAAACAAAAUGCGCUGCAGUGGAGAGAUAAGAAAAGAAGAAAAGGGGAUCAAAAGCGGGCCACCGACGCACUGCUCCGAGAACAACCACAGAUUGUUCCAGUCCUAAGUCAGCGCAGGAUGUCCUGACCUCAAGAUGUACC